rnacentral:rRNA from 1 species
AACGAACGCUGGCGGCAUGCCUAACACAUGCAAGUCGAACGAGACCUUCGGGUCUAGUGGCGCACGGGUGCGUAACGCGUGGGAACCUGCCCUUAGGUUCGGAAUAACUCCCCGAAAGGGGUGCUAAUACCGGAUAAUGUCUUCGGACCAAAGAUUUAUCGCCUUUGGAUGGGCCCGCGUUGGAUUAGCUAGUUGGUAGGGUAAAAGCCUACCAAGGCGACGAUCCAUAGCUGGUCUGAGAGGAUGAUCAGCCACACUGGGACUGAGACACGGCCCAGACUGCUACGGGAGGCAGCAGUGGGGAAUAUUGGACGAGGGGCGAAAGCCUGAUCCAGCAAUGCCGCGUGAGUGAUGAAGGCCUUAGGGUUGUAAAGCUCUUUUACCCGGGAUGAUAAUGACAGUACCGGGAGAAUAAGCACCGGCUAACUCCGUG